rnacentral:rRNA from 1 species
UACGUAGGCAGCGAGCGUUGUUCGGAGUUACUGGGCGUAAAGAGCUCGUAGGCGGCUUGUUGCGUCGGCUGUGAAAACCCAUGGCUUAACUGUGGCUUGCAGCCGAUACGGCAGGCUAGAGUUCGGUAGGGAGAUUGGAAUUCCUGGUGUAGCGGUGGAAUGCGCAGAUAUCAGGAGGAACACCAAUGGCGAAGGCAGAUCUCUGGCCGUAACUGACGCUGAGGAGCGAAAGCAUGGGGAGCGAACAGG